rnacentral:rRNA from 1 species
GCUACCAUUUAGGCUGAAGGUACCCACUGCCAGGCAGUUAGGGCACGGAAGAAUCGUGCGCUUGGCGAGGAACUCCUCGCACACGGCGAGGUUGCGCGUAUUCGGCGUCAUCAGGAGGCGAUCCUCCUCGGCGGUCGGCGGACCUUCGGGUUUUGGCGGCGGCGGUGCUCGAGCGGAUGCGAGAGGCGCCGAUUUGCGCGCAGGCGGGGCCAUGGGCAGCGGCGGCAGUGUUGGCCCGGCAGAAUUAACCGAAAAUAAAUAAAAAAAUUCGAAAAAUGCCAAGGGAAAAAUCGCCAGAUCGGAAGAAGAUGGCGAAGAAGACAGAACUUCUCCGCCUCGGCGGCGCACGGGCGUGCGCAAACGGCAGAAACUUGAAGCGCGUCGCGAGCGCUUUUCAGCGUUAUCAAAAUGGAACUGGGGCUUCCAAAGAUGAGCUCAGUGAGAACAGAAAUCUCACGUAGCGCAAAAGGAUAAAAGCUCGUUUGAACGAUGAGGACUGGGGAUCGGGCAGGACUUGAAAUUUGGCCUGCCCGGCACCCUUCGGGAAACCAAAGUGUUUGCUUUCUGGGGGGAGUAUGGUCGCAAGGCUGAAACUUAAAGGAAUUGACGGAAGGGCAUCACCGGGUGUGGAGCCUGCGGCUUAAUUUGACUCAACACGGGGAAACUUACCAGGUCCGGACAUAGUGAGGAUUGACAGAUUGAGAGCUCUUUCUUGAUUCUAUGGUUGGUGGUGCAUGGCCGUUCUUAGUUGGUGGAGUGAUCUGUCUGGUUAAUUCCGUUAACGAGCGAGACCUGGGCGUGCUAGCUAGGCGCGACUACCGCUUUUUGGUAGUGAGGCUGCCUUCCUAGACGGACUGCGGGCGUCUAGUCCGCGGAAGCUCCAGGCAAUAACAGGUCUGAGAUGCCCUUAGAUGUUCUGGGCCGCACGCGUGCUACACUGAGCGGGUCAACGGGUGAGGAUGUGCGAGAGCGCUUCCCAAUCUCUAAAUCCGCUCGUGCUGGGGAUCGAGGCUUGCAAUUUUCCCUCUUGAACGAGGAAUACCUUGUAAGCAUGGGUCAUCAUCCCGUGCUGAAUACGUCCCUGCCCUUUGUACACACCGCCCGUCGCUCCUACCGAUUGAGUGGUCCGGUGAGGCCUUGGGAGGGAAAGAUGGACUGUGUUUCACGGACCGUCUGGCUCAAACUUGGUCAAACCUUAUCACUUAGAGGAAGGAGAAGUCGUAACAAGGUUUCCGUAGGUGAACCUGCGGAAG